UACAGAGGUCUCAAGCGUUGUUCGGAUUCAUUGGGCGUAAAGGGUGCGUAGGCGGCGGGGCAAGUCUGAUGUGAAAUCCCGGGGCUCAACCCCGGAACUGCAUUGGAUACUGCCUUGCUUGAGUACUGGAGAGGGAACUGGAAUUUACGGUGUAGCAGUGAAAUGCGUAGAGAUCGUAAGGAAGGCCAGUGGCGAAGGCGAGUUCCUGGACAGUUACUGACGCUGAGGCACGAAGGCCAGGGGAGCAAACGGG
rnacentral:rRNA from 1 species